UGGUGAUGAUGGCGAAGAGGUCACACCCGUUCCCAUGCCGAACACGGAAGUUAAGCUCUUCAGCGCCGAUGGUAGUCGGGGGUUUCCCCCUGUGAGAGUAGGACAUCGCCA
rnacentral:rRNA from 7 species